rnacentral:rRNA from 1 species
CCUACGGGCGGCAGCAGUGAGGAAUAUUGGUCAAUGGGCGGGAGCCUGAACCAGCCAAGUCGCGUGAGGGAAGACGGUCCUAUGGAUUGUAAACCUCUUUAGGCGGGGAGCAAUGCCGGGCACGCGUGCCCGGAGGGAGAGUACCCGCGGAAUAAGCAUCGGCUAACUCCGUGCCAGCAGCCGCGGUAAUACGGAGGAUGCGAGCGUUAUCCGGAUUUAGUGGGUUUAAAGGGUGCGUAGGCGGAUUUUUAAGUCAGCGGUAAAAUGUCCGGGCUCAACCCGGGCCGGCCGUUGAAACUGGGGAUCUUGAGUGGGCGAGAAGUAGGCGGAAUGCGUGGUGUAGCGGUGAAAUGCAUAGAUAUCACGCAGAACUCCGAUUGCGAAGGCAGCAUACCGGCGCCCGACUGACGCUGAGGCACGAAAGCGUGGGGAUCGAACAGGAUUAGAUACCCUUGUAGUC